rnacentral:rRNA from 1 species
GUCGAGCGGAUGACGGGAGCUUGCUCCUUGAUUCAGCGGCGGACGGGUGAGUAAUGCCUAGGAAUCUGCCUGGUAGUGGGGGACAACGUUUCGAAAGGAACGCUAAUACCGCAUACGUCCUACGGGAGAAAGCAGGGGACCUUCGGGCCUUGCGCUAUCAGAUGAGCCUAGGUCGGAUUAGCUAGUUGGUGGGGUAAUGGCUCACCAAGGCGACGAUCCGUAACUGGUCUGAGAGGAUGAUCAGUCACACUGGAACUGAGACACGGUCCAGACUCCUACGGGAGGCAGCAGUGGGGAAUAUUGGACAAUGGGCGAAAGCCUGAUCCAGCCAUGCCGCGUGUGUGAAGAAGGUCUUCGGAUUGUAAAGCACUUUAAGUUGGGAGGAAGGGCAGUAAGUUAAUACCUUGCUGUUUUGACGUUACCGACAGAAUAAGCACCGGCUAACUCUGUGCCAGCAGCCGCGGUAAUAAC